rnacentral:lncRNA from 1 species
UGAACCAAUCAAACACACAGUCGAGGGUACUACGUCAUAUUGCAUGUGUUUUCUUUACCAAAUAUGGGAUUAGGUAAACACAGCCAUAUGUUGUUACACUACGUGUGACAAUUUUAUGUUAUCGGGCAUAUGUUUAUGGGAAUCCAGAUAUGCAGCCGUCACAGCCUGCUGAUGAAGAUCCUCAGCUUAUACAGAGGUCAGGCUUGAGCUAUGUGCUGAUUCAAAAGAUGCUAAUGACAGUGGAUAAUCCAUUCUGAGUUGUUCUAGGACCAUUCACCAACGUUUCAAAACACUGAUGGAACUGAAGGCAGUAGGUGUACUGGUGUCUGGCCUGUGAUUUCAAGUAUAAUAAUUGAUGUACCUCCUCCUGAUGUAUCUUCUUGAAUACAAUAUAUCUGCCAUGUGGAAGGAACAAGCUGCAAGAUAUACUGUGGAAGUGGGGGCCUAUG